ensembl:lncRNA
CCUGGUUCUGUCUGUGCAAUGAAGAGCAUAAGAGCACAUAAGAACAUACAGAUGUGGUUGCUGGCUCGGGCCGUGGGCUGGUGUCCUAUCUGCCAUCAGCCUUCAUCCGCCUGCCAGUUUUUCCAUCAUCCAACCUCCUGCUGGAAAUACGGCAUGCUGAUGGGAGCCAAUCGCUGCAGACUUCACCAGAACAUUUUCCAAACAGUUAUGUUUAUUAAUUCAUCAUUGAUGUGUUUUUCUUCUCCCAAUUCUUCUGCUCUCUCCUCCAGUGCCCCGCUGAGCAGUGGCAAACAAAAAAUGAUCGCUAUCGGAAUAAGUGAUGAUAUGGAAGUUUUGCAAUUUCUUAACGGCUGAGCUCUGGGAGUGAGCAGAAAUGCACUUCACCAGCUGUGAGUGGAAAGGACACCACGGGCCACGGAGCCUGGCCUCUCUGCAGCCUGUUGUCCAUGGUGAUGUCUGGGUGUUUGGAACCCCUUCCCCCCAAAAGAACCAAGGCUGUCUGCGCAAAUGUGUGAAGUGAAACACAGUAGGGAGCAUGGACGAUGCCUGCCCUGUUGUAAGCUGGUGGGGGUGGAAAUACCCUGUGUGGGGAGAGGUGUCAAGGACCUGAAAGUGACAGCAUCUUCAGGCAGCUGGGUCUGAAGGAGGAGGAGAUUUCCCUACAGCCUCAACCUGCUGCGCUCUCCUCUUCCUUGGUUUCCCAUUAUGUGCAAAAAGAAGAGUUGAACCUGGGAAUAGCAUCGCUCAAUGGCUCGUUAGUUUGAUAAAGUGGUAAAAGCGGCGAUAGCUGCAAUGGGUACUUCCAGCUCAGAAGCAUUUAUAGAUCUCGGGGGAAUUCUGAAAAACACCAGAAGGUCUUUAGGUACUGAAUCACAGGUGUGAUGUGUGCAUCACCGCCAGAACUUCAGCUUCCUUUCAAAGUUCUUUUCAGAACAACCAAUCUGCAUUCAGGAAAAGAAAGAAUUGAAACAGAAAUGUACGGAGAUGAGAAGUGCAGGAAGGAAAGUUCUGCCAAGAAGCAACCUGCAAAUAAGAACUGUGUUGCAGAUAACAGAUCAUAAUAAUAAUGAUGUUUUUAUUUUAGAAUAGUUUAGAGAUACUCCAGCAGAAAUCCCAAGUCUACACAACUUACAAAAAUGUUAAAGAUGGGGGAGGUGGGGGCACAAAACAUUUUCUUAAGGACAGCGGGAGCCUGAGCCCAUCCAGGCCACCAAAGGCUCCGCAGAAACAAAACUGGGCAGUUUGGGCAUGCGCCAAUGGUACCACUGCGUACAUCCAUCCCGGCACCCCCAGAAGAAGGGGACUGCAUGAACCAGGGCUGCCGGGCAAUGGAAUCACACACUGCGUGCUGCAAAGCGACUGCAGAUGAUCAGAAAUUCCCUGAGUUUAACCCUGAAGCAAUAGAGCUAAACAUGGCUGGGUUUCCCAUUGUGUGAAGGAUGCUGAAGCACAGCUGCAUGCUUAACCCCAAGAAACGCUGACAAUUUCCCUUGUGUGGGUUUAGGUCUGCUUUCUGACAAUGAAUAAUUAGACAUCUCAACAUCAAAAUGCAUUUCUGUUUUGUUACAAUAUUUAUUUGAGGCUUAAUCACAGUUGUCAAUGUGCUAUUUCAGUGAAUAAUAUUUUAAUAUUGAGUUAUUUUACAGCUCAUGCAGCAGUAAGACAUAUAUGAAGGUACUGGAUGAUUAUUUAGACUUUAUUUAUUGCAGAGGAAAACAAUGACAUUGAAAAUAUUGUAUAAAUACCCAAUACAUUAAACUGCAAAACACCUACUGUGCACUACGAAUGGAAGCGACGUUAUUUGGAAACAUUUGAAAAAAAUAAUAUAAUUAUAUGUUAUCAAGACAGAGACAGA